UUCGAUGGUAGGAUAGAGGCCUACCAUGGUAUCAACGGGUAACGGGGAAUUAGGGUUCGACUCCGGAGAGGGAGCCUGAGAAACGGCUACCACAUCCAAGGAAGGCAGCAGGCGCGCAAAUUACCCAAUCCCGACACGGGGAGGUAGUGACAAUAAAUACUGAUACAGGGCUCUUUUGGGUCUUGUAAUUGGAAUGAGUACAAUUUAAAUCCCUUAACGAGGAACAAUUGGAGGGCAAGUCUGGUGCCAGCAGCCGCGGUAAUUCCAGCUCCAAUAGCGUAUAUUAAAGUUGUUGCAGUUAAACAGCUCGUAGUUGAACCUUGGGCCUGGCUGGCCGGUCCGCCUCACCGCGUGUACUGGUCCGGCCGGGCCUUUCCUUCUGGGGAACCUCAUGCCCUUCACUGGGCGUGUUGGGGAACCAGGACUUUUACUUUGA
rnacentral:rRNA from 1 species